AUUUUGAGUGGCAACACUGCCAGAUUAAAGGACUUUCGCUUCGACCAUGAUUGGGAACGGCGAGGGAAAGAUUUCACGUUUUCGUGUUUUGUUGGCCAGGUUCGCCUGCAUAUUAAAAAUUAUGUCUCUGAAGUAGAGAAUAAUAAUUUUAUUUAUCUCAACAAUAAUGCUUCCUUAUUUUGUUCAUUUUGAAAUAGAUAUUUUUAUCUGAUUUCGGGGAUGGUGGGAACGAGAGAUUACACAUAUGCAAUCUACUCUGGGAUUCUUUCAUUUUUAUAUUUCCUUUGUAUUUUAUUGUUUUAUUUUAUUAUAUACGUAACUAAUUAAUAGAAAUAUGACUUUAGAAGAAAAUACACUUGGGUUACCAUGAUGUAGGAAAAAUUUAAAUAUGAAAAAUUUAUAAUUUGAAAUUAAGAUGGAACUUAAAUGAGUUACAAACAGAACUCAAACUUAAAAUUAUAUUUCGAUUUCAUUCUGUCAUUUUCGUUAAACUUCAAUCAUCGAGGCCUGGAUAUUUGAAUUUGAAAUUUAAAUAAAACACUAAAAGGUAUCUUUUCAAUAUUUUGAAAGCUGAGUCUACCGUGGAUCACCAGAGCAAUGAAACAUCUGUCCGUAUUAAAGUAGAACCUUUGGGCUGGAGAUCCUGCUCAUCGAAACUUCCUGUUGAAACCUUAACACCCUGUGGAUGUCCAGAGCAAAUUGACAAUUCAAGUAAUUGGUAUGAAUUAAUGCAGAAGAGGUACAGACUUUCUCAUUAUUUAGUUGAUCUAUGCUUAUUUACAAGGUUAUUUGAUUUCUGGUGGUAUACUCGUUAAGCUCAUUAUACUCGUUAAGCACAUUAUACUCA